CAGUACCAACACCACCACCACCUGCCCACCAGCACCAGACUGGCACGGAGGAGGCGCCGCCGACACCAUCCGAGAGCUCCGGAAGUGACCGCCUCGUAAUUGAUACGGAGGCGGAGGAGGAUCUCAUUUACGUUGAGUCGGGGGAGGAAGAGGAGCCAGAUUAUAUAAUUAUUGACAGUGAGGAGGAAGAGAAUAAACCCUCUCCCCAACUUGG